CUUUGUUUUAGCUACGAUAUAAUGGAUUAUUGGAAACCAUCCAGAUUCGUAAAGAUGGAUAUUCGUGGAGACCAUUCUUUAAGGAAUUUGCAGAAAGAUAUGGCAUACUGCUUAUUACACCCAAUAUAUCACUUACUAAAGAAAGUUGCUUUGCUAUUCUUCAAACCACAGGCCUGAAGGACUGGAAGUCUGGGUAAGUUUG